rnacentral:tRNA from 1 species
GAGAAAACCUGCGAGGACUGCUAACCCAUGCUGUCGUACCUAAGACUACGACUUUCUCA